rnacentral:rRNA from 1 species
UAAUACGGAGGGUGCAAGCGUUGUUCGGAAUUAUUGGGCGUAAAGAGCGUGUAGGCGGCUCGUCAAGUCUGAUGUGAAAGCCCGGGGCUCAACCCCGGAAGUGCAUUGGAAACUGGCGAACUUGAGUACGGGAGAGGAAAGUGGAAUUUCGAGUGUAGGGGUGAAAUCCGUAGAUAAUCGAAGGAACACCAGUGGCGAAGGCGGCUUUCUGGACCGAUACUGACGCUGAGACGCGAAAGCGUGGGGAGCAAACAGGAUUAGAUACCCUGGUAGUCCACGCCGUAAACGAUGGGUACUAGGUGUUGCGGGUAUUGACCCCUGCAGUGCCAAAGCUAACGCAUUAAGUACCCCGCCUGGGGAGUACGGCCGCAAGGCUA